GUUGGGAAUGACCGCAGCCCAGACACAGCAGUGAUCAUCAUCAGACUAUACUAAAAGGAAUUGACACUGAACAAGGACACAAGAAACAAAGAAAGUUUUUUGAUCAAAAACAAGAUUUUAAUGG